AUGAGCUUCUGUUCAUAUUUGCAUAGAAAGAAGGUUUUUAGGUUCUUCAUGUCUAAAGCUUGCCCUAGGUUCAAUGUGCCAUCUAGGACCACUAUGUAUAGAGCUAUCAUUGCUCUUUAUGAAACUGAGAAAGCUAUGCUUAGAAAAUAUUUCAUCGAUUCACGUCAAACUGUUUGCCUCACCACUGAUACAUGGACAUCAAAAAGACAACAAAGCUACAUGGUUCUUACUGCACAUUUCAUCGAUUCUGCGUGGAACCUUAGGAAAAAAAUUAUUAGCUUUGUCUUGGUAGAUGGACACAAAGGGGACGAUAUUGGGAAAUCAUUAGAAAAAUUACUGAUUGAGUGGGGCAUUGAACGAGUGUGCACUAUUACCGUAGAUAAUGCGAGUUCUAAUGACACUUGCUUAGCCUACAUGAAGAGAUCUUUGACUAAUAGGGGAUGCACACAUGCAAGAAGCCAAUAUCUUCACAUGAGGUGUGUGGCUCACAUUGUUAAUCUUGUGGUUCAAGAUGGCUAA
rnacentral:rRNA from 1 species